CAAUAGCGUAUAUUUAAGUUGCUGCAGUUAAAAAGCUCGUAGUUGGAUUUCGGGUGGGAAUGGCCGGUCCGCCGUUUCGGUGUGCACUUGCUACGCCCACCUUGCUGCCGGGGACGUGCUCUUGAGUUCACGCUCGGGACACGGAGUCGGCGAGGUUACUUUGAGUAAAUUAGAGUGUUCAAAGCAGGCCUACGCUCUGAAUACAUUAGCAUGGAAUAACACGAUAGGACUCUGGCCUAUCUUGUUGGUCUGUAGGACCGGAGUAAUGAUUAAGAGGGACAGUCGGGGGCAUUCGUACUUAACUGUCAGAGGUGAAAUUCUUGGAUUUGUUAAAGACGGACUAAUGCGAAAGCAUUUGCCAAGGAUGUUUUCAUUGA
rnacentral:rRNA from 1 species